rnacentral:rRNA from 1 species
UACGGGGGGGGCAAGCGUUGUUCGGAAUUACUGGGCGUAAAGCGCGCGUAGGCGGUCUUGUAAGUCUCGUGUGAAAUCCCUCGGCUUAACUGAGGAACUGCACGGGAUACUGCAUGACUUGAGAUCGGGAGAGGGAAGCGGAAUUCCGGGUGUAGCGGUGAAAUGCGUAGAUAUCCGGAGGAACACCGGUGGCGAAGGCGGCUUCCUGGACCGACACUGACGCUGAGGCGCGAAAGCUAGGGGAGCAAACGGG